GCCACUACUAAGCCUAUGGGCACCCACAGCACUGACCGAGCCCCACCAAGCAGGUCACCCUCCCUGAUGUGCCAUUCGUUAAUGCCACACGUAAAUUCACACAAACGAGCUUCAGGGCACUCACCGCCAUAGGAAAGGAGCCCCCCCAACACAUCACCACUCCCCCGCGAGAGUACAGGCGAGAGAGGGCUGUAAAAGCUAUUCGAAACUUAAAAAUGGAUAUUUCCCGCAACAUGUUGAAAUUACUGUGUGAUUUGUUCAUUAUAUUGCCAAAC